rnacentral:rRNA from 1 species
CCCAGACUCCUACGGGAGGCAGCAGUGAGGAAUAUUGGUCAAUGGGCGGGAGCCUGAACCAGCCAAGUCGCGUGAGGGAAGACGGUCCUACGGAUUGUAAACCUCUUUUGCCGGGGAGCAACGGGGUCCUUGCGAGGGCCCAAUGAGAGUACCCGGAGAAAAAGCAUCGGCUAACUCCGUGCCAGCAGCCGCGGUAAUACGGAGGAUGCGAGCGUUAUCCGGAUUUAUUGGGUUUAAAGGGUGCGUAGGCGGUCGGAUAAGUUAGAGGUGAAAUCCCGAGGCUCAACUGCGGAAUUGCCUCUGAUACUGUUCGGCUAGAGAGUAGUUGAGGUAGGCGGAAUGCGUGGUGUAGCGGUGAAAUGCAUAGAUAUCACGCAGAACUCCGAUUGCGAAGGCAGCUUACUAAACUAUAACUGACACUGAAGCACGAAAGCGUGGGGAUCAAACAGGAUUAGAUACCCCGGUAA